ensembl:lncRNA
CUAAUUCUUGUUCUGUGAACCGUGGAGUACCGCCACCUGUAGGAUACCUCACACCAAGUCAUUCCUCUUCCCUGAAGCACACUGCCUCCCACAACUGUGAGCAGGCGUAUGUUCACAGUUUCACACCUUGAGAUGGUGGAGACCACCAGGCUCUUCUAGUCCACACGUCUCUCCAGCUUGACAUCCUCCCAGUGGAUGCUCCAGCGCAUAACCUCCGGGAGCACGGGUUAAAGCAACAGUCGCCAGUGGUGUCCUGUUUGACACAGUGUGUCCUCUUUCCUCCACUAACUGCUACCUUUAGGAGUAAAAGCUCUAAGAAAAUCUCCUUGUGGCCUAUGAUUUCUCAGUAGCCAGAAAGCUCAUUAAUACUCUCUUCACUUCCUGUUAAGGAUCCACGAAUGGAUUGUAUUACCCUCCUGGCAUCAACAUGUGACAAUACGGGCAGAAUACUGCCAACCAGGGAAGCUCAUCUGAGCUUUAAUGUCCAGAGCUUUUAAUGCGGCACCACAUUGGACUUUGCACACGGCUGACCUUUAGUCUCCAGCUCAUUGGAGGCUGAGUGGACACCUUACGGCCUACAGAGAAUUUCUAAAGGAAAAAGAACUCGAUAUCUCUUGCUAGGGCUUCCUAUUAGCUGAAGCCAGAGAGAAGAGAGAAGGCAUGGAAGCCCACUGACUACACGAUACAAGUCAGCACAUCGGAGGAGAGAGCGGGAAAAGAAGGAGACUGCAGGCCCAGGAGAGCUGAUGGUGUAUUCCAGUCCAAACCCAAACCCGAAGGCCUGAGAACCAGGAGCACUCUAUGGCAGAGGGCAAAGAUGGACGUUCCGGCUCAAGCAGAGAGCACAGUCAGCCUUCCUCUGCCGUUGGUUCCGUUCCGGCGCUCAGUGGAUUGGAUGAAGCCCACCUGCAUUGGGGAGCGCCAUCUUCUUUACUCAGUCUACUGAUUCAAAUGCUAAUCUCUUCCAGAAACACCCUCACACACACCCCAGACAUAAUGUUUUACCAGCUAUCUGGUCAUUCCUUACCUCAGUCAAAUUCAUACAUAAAACUAAGCAUCACACCUCCCCAAAAUCAAGACAAUGGAUGAUGUUUAUAACUGGGUAAAAUGGGAUUUGUAAUUCAGGUUAUUUCAUGUUCUUUGCUUUCCACAAAUCUGAAGCAUAACCUAAUCAACUUGCCAACGGAUUUAUAAUUAAUAAUUUUUGAUCAUAGACUAUUAUGUUACUUCAGCAUGUAAUUCUGAAGGAGUUCAAAGAAUUGUGUGACAUUGUUCAAGUAAAAUCCCUUUCAUUCCUAUGAAUUUAAUCAUAUAAACACAUUUCCAUUCUACUUCAAGUAAUAAAAUGAAAAAUAUCAGUAGGAUGGAUUGGAAACUGUCAUAGUCUAGCAAUAAUUCAUAUUUAUCCAUGGAUAAGUUCAGUAAUCAAAAAAUAGCUUUAUUAAUUUCAUUAAGAUAUGCAUUCUAGAAAGUGAAUUUUGUGUUAAAAUUACUUAUUAAAUUUGUAAUAUGUUUAUGCUGAGACAAAUUGUGUACUAAUAACAAUUAUAAUGCGACUCAAUCCAGAAGAAAAACAAUUUAAUAAAGUCCUAUACAACAAAAUAUAAAAUUGUAGUGUCUAUACAUAUUCAGUGACAGAAUUAAGAUGGGGUGUUCAAUAUAAGAGCUUUAAGCAUAGAACAAUAUUGUAUCAGCAUGUAAUUUAGGUGUGAAAGUGAAAUGGAAAUGUGAGUUCAAGAUGAAAAAAUAAAAAUAAAUGAUUUCUGAAUUUUAAAGAAGAACUUAUUCAUAUGUAUUUUAAAUGGUUUUGAUGAGGAUUUCAAAUUAUUAUGCUCAGGAAAAACAAAAAAAGGAAUGAUAACU